rnacentral:rRNA from 1 species
UACGGAGGGGGUUAGCGUUGUUCGGAAUUACUGGGCGUAAAGCGCACGUAGGCGGAUUAGAAAGUUGGGGGUGAAAUCCCGGGGCUCAACCUCGGAACCGCAUUUGAAACUGGCAGACUAGAGUCUUGGAGAGGGGAGUGGAAUUCCAGGUGUAGCGGUGAAAUGCGUAGAUAUCUGGAGGAACAUCAGUGGCGAAGGCGGCUCACUGGCUCGAUACUGACGCUGAGGUGCGAAAGUGUGGGGAGCAAACAGG